GCAUAAUCAUUAGUCUUUUAAUUGAGGGCUGGAAUGAAUGGUUUGACGAAAUAUUAACUGUCUCUUUAUAAUAAGUAGAAUUUAACUUUUGAGUCAAAAGGCUUAAAUGAAUAUAAAAGACGAGAAGACCCUAUAGAUCUUUAUACAUGAGUGUAUUUAUUUUGUUUAGAUGGAAUUUUUUAUAGAUAUAUUAUUGUAUUCUGUUGGGGUGACAUAAAGAUAAAAGUAACUCUUUAUUAUUAAUACAUUGAUUUAUGAACAAUUGAUCCGUUAUUAACGAUUACAAGAAAAAGUUACCUUAGGGAUAACAGCGUAAUUUUUUUUGAGAGUUCUUAUCGACAAAAAAGAUUGCGACCUCGA
rnacentral:rRNA from 1 species